AUUGAACGCUGGCGGAAUGCUUUACACAUGCAAGUCGAACGGCAGCACGGACUUCGGUCUGGUGGCGAGUGGCGAACGGGUGAGUAACAUAUCGGAACGUAUCCAAUAAUGGGGGAUAACCAAUCGAAAGGUUGGCUAAUACCGCAUACGCCCUACGGGGGAAAGCUAGGGACCUUCGGGCCUGGCGUUAAUGGAGCGGCCGAUAUCUGAUUAGCUAGUUGGUGAGGUAAAGGCUCACCAAGGCGACGAUCAGUAGCUGGUCUGAGAGGACGACCAGCCACACUGGAACUGAGACACGGUCCAGACUCCUACGGGAGGCAGCAGUGGGGAAUUUUGGACAAUGGGCGCAAGCCUGAUCCAGCCAUUCCGCGUGAGUGAAGAAGGCCUUCGGGUUGUAAAGCUCUUUCGCAAGGGAAGAAAACUUAUCCUCUAACAUAGGAUGAGGUUGACGGUACCUUGAUAAGAAGCACCGGCUAACUACGUGCCAGCAGCCGCAGUAAUAC
rnacentral:rRNA from 1 species